AGCAAUGAAGAAAGUAAAACAAAUGGUAUUAAAAGGAAUAGAACAGAAACCAAACACCAUUUCUGGCUGCUCCUGAUAUUUCGGCAGAAUCUAAAAAAAAUCCAGACUUCUGAAACCCAUCCAGCCUCCUAAACAUUGGAUCCAGGUAGAGGGGCUCCCACUGCAUCGCUCGAUGCGCUUCUUGUUUAGCCCGAAACUGGAAAAACCGAAAUGCAGAACCGGGGCCUACCUAACACAGACAAUCCCCAGUCUGGAGCAAUUCCUGAAGGGGACCUGCCCCGAAAGAACGCCAAACACGCUGCAGCACCGACCCGCUACAGCCACACCAGCAAUGGGGCCCUGAUCCCAGAUACCACAGCCUGGCACCUCGAUCGAAGCUACACUCAAAUUCCCACUACUCUACAGUAAUGCACACGGUUUUCAUCAGUCUAAAUACAGAGUACAGAAUAUUUGAUAUUUGAGUCCUAACAUCAGAGGAAAGGGAUUUAGGGGUGAUUAUUUCUGAUGACUUAAAGGUAGGCACACAAUGUAACAGAGCAGCAGGAAAUGCUAGCAGAAUGCUUGGUUGUAUAGGGAGAGGUACUAGCAGUAGAAAUAGGGAAGUGCUCAUGCCAUUGUACAGAACACUGGUGAGACCUCACUUGGAGUAUUGUACGCAGUACUGGAGACCGUAUCGUCAGAAGGAUAUUGAUAUCUUAGAGAGAGUUCAGAGAAGGGCUACUAAACUGGUUCAUGGAUUGCAGGAUAAAACUUACCAGGAAAGGUUAAAGGAUCUUAACAUGUAUAGCUUGGAGGAAAGACGAGACAGGGGGUAUAUGAUAGAAACAUUUAAAGGACCACUAUAGUGCCAGGAAAACAUACUCUUUUUCCUGGCACUAUAGUGCCCUGAGGGUGCCCCGACCCUCAGGGCCCCCCUCCCGCCGGGCUCUAGGGUGAGGAAGGGGUUAAAUUUACCUAUUUUUCCAGCGCCGGGCGGGGAACUCUCCUCCUCCUCUCCAUAUCGCCGUCAUUGGCUGAAUGCGCAUGCGCGGCACAAGCCGCGCACGCAUUCAGCCAGUCCAUAGGAAAGCAUUCUCAAUGCUUUCCUAUGAACGCUGGCGUUUUCUUACUCUGAAAAUCACAAUGAGACAGCCACCAGAGGCUGGAUUAAUCCUAUUAUAAACAUAGCAGUUUCUAUGAAACUGCUAUGUUUAUAGAAGAAAGGGUUAAUCCUAGCUGGACCAGGCACCCAGGCCACUUCAUUAAGCUGAAUAAAGGGAAUCAACACAGUAAAGGAGGAGACUAUAUUUAAAAGAAUGAGAACUACCACAACAAGAGGACAUAGUCUUAUAUUAGAGUGGCAAAGGUUUAAAAAUAAUAUCAGGAAGUAAUACUUCACUGAGAGGGUAGUGGAUGCAUGGAAUAGCCUUCCAGCUGAAGUGGUAGAGGUUAACACAGUAAAGGAGUUUAAGCAUGCAUGGGAUAGGCAUAAGGCUAUCCUAACUAUAAGAUAAGGCUAGGGACUAAUGAAAGUAUUUAGAAAAUUGGGCAGACUAGAUGGGCCGAAUGGUUCUUAUCUGCCGUCACAUUCUAUGUUUCUAUGUUAAUAUAUAGAACAAAACCAAAAGCAUGGCCUGCGCAUCUCAUAUCACUGCAAUGGCCAUUAAAGGGUUAGCUCACUUGCUACAUCAAGGAAAACCUCUUGGGUGAGUCCUACACUAACAAUUCACGUUGUUGAUUUCAUCGAAAACGUAAACUCUGUAAUGACACAAAAAGGGUUAUUCUGAAUCCAUACAAACUAGUCAACCCUUAAUAAGGCACACAUGGGGAGAUCUUUGCAGCUAAAAAACUACUUUUUAAUGGCAUCACUGCUCUUGAAGAAUUAAUUUCUAACUGGCACGCAAUUUUAAACUUUCCCAUAGUUCACUUUAUUCUUUAUUUUGAAAGUUUUAUUCAGUUACAUAUAGAGUAUAACAUUGUCGUAAGAAAUGUUUUACAUUAAAAUGUAGUCAGCAUCCAUUUGCAUUGGAUAAGUAAAGAACAGUGUAUAACAGUGGAAAUAAUAACAGUGGCACAAUGCAGUACAAUACAGAACAAUACUACGGGCCGUACACAUAUUGGCUAGACAUCAUGGAUUAAAUCGUGCAUAUAGAUGUCGACCUGGUUCAUUCAUUUGGUGGGUUCCUUGAUUGGUGUUUGAAAUGGCCGUAAUGCCAGAAUGGCCGUAAUGCUGCUUUGUGUUCGUAAUCGAGGUAACAUUUGAAAGAUAAAAAGAAAAAAGCAACAAACAAAACCGAGGGCAGGGUUAAAUCUGGGUAAAUAAAGGCUUGGGGAUGCCUUAGCUGCACAUCUUGAACCCCUCGUGGGGGUGUCAUCAAGUUGUCUGUGGGUGAUGUAUGAUUGUCUUGAGAAGGGGGCAGCAGGGUCGUUAUUUUAUGUUCAUUGGCCCAGUCCUGGUGCUGUCAUGGGUUCUGAGGUGUGGUUGCAGGGGGGUGAGGUGUAGAUUGUCAGUUAAGUUGGGGUGUCAGUGUUCGAGGGGCAUCUCUUGUCUGUAGGCACAUUUUUUUUAAACACUGUCUACGGAGAGGUGGGUGCUUUAGCAAUGAGGGAGGUGGUUAGGAAGCUUUGAAUUUGGAGGUAUUGGAAGUGAUCGAAGGUGGUAAGUGGUGUGUUUUGAGGGAGGUUGGGGAAUGGAAUUAUUUGGUUAUUGUGGAAGAACUGGAAAAGUCUAACAAGCUCAUUGUCCUCGAAAUGUGCGAAGUGUUGGGGUGUCAUAUACAACAAAUAGGUGGAGCAAUAAAAAACAAAUACUGUAAAUACUUCCCUCUCUUCAAUAUACAACCACAAAACUGAAACAGAAACAGAGGGAGAUACAAUAGUGUAAAACUGGUAAGACAAAAAGUAAUCACUAUGUCUAUAAUGGGCACACUCACAAGGAUAGAGCCAUAAAGUAACCUGGCUCUAGUCUGGAUAGCAAUAGGAUCCUUAAGGGAGAUCCAAAUCCCACUCCAGUAGAUGAGAAGGAUGAUGCAGGAACAAUAUCUACUUCAAAAGUAAUAAUUUAUUCCAGAAAUAAAAGAAAAACAAAACAAAGUCCAUAUAAUCACCAAAACGCGUUUCGCCAAAUAGGCUUCCUCAGUUGGUGGAUAUUCAAUGUAAAAAGUCUCUUUCUUCUUUAAUAUAGUUGGUUUUGGCGCCACGUGCGUUCCACAAAUACUACGUCCGAUCAUGUGACCGGACAAUACAGGAAAUGAGCAUUGAAUCGGAAAUCAUGCGUUCCACGGAUGAAACUGGAAGUCGACGCUGUGCGUUUCACAGAUGAAGAUGGCGCCAAAACCAACUAUAUUAAAGAAGACAUCCAGGUAUAGAAAUAGGAAUAGUGAUGGGAUAUUUCGAUGGGAGGCCACCCAGAUCAGGUCAAACAUUCUCCGUGUAUUGUCGCAGGCUUGUCUGUGGGGAAUUGUAGCGGUACUUACCUUACCCGGGGGCCGGCCGAGGUUCUCUCUUCCCGCCGUGCGGCUCUCGAAUGAAGGUGGGCACGGACCGUGAGAUGGGGUCACGUGUCCCGCCUAGCUCUUAGAGCGUGCCGCGCGUCUCGGUCACGCUCUUAAAGGGGCAGUGGGAGCUAAAAAAUGAAAUGUGCUCCCAUUGGCCCCUGUCAUCCCACAUUCCCCAGACACUCACAUUUUGGGGGCGUGGAUAUGACAGGGGCCAAUCAAAGUAAAGUUUAGGGUAUAUAUACUUACCUCUCCCUUAACUCCCUGCCCUAUCGUGGUUUCUGUUUCAGUUUCCUUUAGCGCUUGUUGUGUUCAGUUGUGAUUUUCAGUUGUGUUCAGUUGCCAAGGUCCAUGUGGUUUUUGUGGGGUUUUAGAAGUAGGUAAAUAUUGGCUUGGAGCAUGUCUGGGGGAAGUCUCCUCCUAGAAUGGAGUUAAAAAGAUUGUUCAGGUAUGGGAGCAAAAUUGAAGAGUAUGUCUUAAAGUAGAGGCCAGUGAACCUGUCUGGGCCUGGACAUUUGUGUUUUUAAUCGUGUCAGACACUUCUUCGGUGGUGAUAGGGGUGCUUAGAAUCGAUCUAGUCUCAUUUGUGAGGGCGGGCAAUGAGACUGACCUUAGGAAGUCACUAGCGUUGUUGGCCGCUUUAGGUUGGGGAAGAGUAGAAAUUAUGGAAAACAGUGGCGAUUUUGUGUGGGAUGUCAUGGAUCUCACCAUUUGGUGUUGUUAUUUUGAUGAUGUAUUUGGUCUGUGUCCAAUGUCACAGUCUGCGGGCCAGGAGAGUGUCAGGUUUGUUGAAUUUCUCAUAGAACAAUUGACUGGUCCAUUGCAGGGCUUUUUGGGCGUCUUGCGCCAGGAAGGUCUGUAUUGUGUGUCUCUAUGUGUUUGAAGGUUGGUCGUGAGUUCUGUCGUGGGGUCGCGCCUGGGACCUGACCACCGAUAAGUGGGACUCGAGGGUUGCGAGAUUUUGUUUUUUUGUGGGCCCUGGCCGCAGCUAUCAGUUUGCCCCUUAUUACUGCUUUGUGGGCACUCCAGACGGUGCAAAUGUUGAUAGUGAAGUAAUCUGUGAUCUCAUUUCUUAUCCAGUCCCUAAUUUGUGGGCCAUGGAGGUGGCUGGGGUUCAGUCACCAGGACCAUUGUUUGAUCAUGUGUGGUAUUGUGAUGGUCAGUUGAAUGUCGUUGUGGUCCGACCAUAUGAUCGAGCCGAUGGAUGAUGCAGUGACUUGGCUUAACAAGGAGUGUGAGAUCAAGUACAUGUUGAUUCCCGAGUAAGAAGAGUGUGGGUGAGAGAAAAAGGUGUAAUCCUGCAUCAUGGGAUGGUGGAGUCUCCAUAUAUUAUGGAGUUCUGUCCAUGACAGAAAGCCUUUAAACAUGUUUGUGGGCAUGGUGUCGUGGGG
rnacentral:lncRNA from 1 species